GUCAGAGCCACGAGAGCCCGGCUCGGUGCCAGCAGGGCCAGCAGCCAGCCCGGCCUCAGGGACAGCCACCACCUGGAGGAAAAGGCCAUUACAGGUCCUUGAAGAUGAAAUGGCAUAAAAUUAAUUUCUACAUCAGAAUUUGCCUGCAGCCAGGAUCUCCUUGAGGGGUUUGCCAAGGCUCUGACGGAGCAGCUGCCCAGGGAGCCCAGGAUGGUGAAAGAAAAUGAAAGGGACAAAGCUCUCCGUGGCUGAGCAGAGCAGCUGGGCCGGGGCUGGUGUCUGCAGGCAGGCUGGGAGUCGGGAGCAGAGCUGCAGCUGCCAGAGCUGUCUGCAAGCUGUGCAGAUGAACAGAAAGCUCCAAAGAGGAAAACCCUGAUGAAAACCAGAAAUGAAAUUGUAUGAAGAGGAAAAUGUUCUUUCUGUUUCAAAGAAAUGAAGCCUUUUCCAGAACAUACCACUGGCAUUUCUGAACCCAAAUACCAACAGGUUAAGAAAGAAACACAUUGAGAAUUCUCCAGAAACACAAGCAGAUAACAAUGACAGCUUUCACCCUUCUUUCCCUGGUCUGCUUUAUUUCACAGGGAGAGAGGAAUAGAAAACUGUAUGGAAGGCAAUUGGAAAAGUCAACACUCAGCAAAGACUUCAAAUGGUGUGACCAAUGUGGCUUUCAGAAUAAUAAAUGGCU
rnacentral:lncRNA from 1 species